UGUUGUGGCCAAAAGUCCUCAGGUAAUAGGUGUUGGUGUGUGUGUCAUAGUGAUAGUGAUGCUGGCCGCCAGUGGACGAAUGUAAACUCGUCUCGCUCAUCACUGUGUCCCCGUUCUGCAUCCCCUCGGCAGGCGCCGCAUCUGGAGAAGCCGGACUCCCAGCGCCGCUUGGGUCUGCAAAGUUCACCACCCGAAACCGUCCUUUAGCUUCUUCGCCGCUUGUCCCUGGGUAUUCCGGAGGAGCGCCGGGAUCGGCCUGAUCGCUGGACGGGACAGUGGCGGAAGCUUCGGAACUCAGCGACUCGUUUUCGGCGACUGCUGCAGCUGCCUCCGCCACAAGGUCCACCUGGAAACGACUCUGACUUUGCGCCGGACCGGGCGGCUUCUGCCGUGCGUCGGGAGCUAAACAAUCAUUCUCCGCUGGUGCGGUCUCUCCCGGAGCGGGGGCCGGAGUUGGAGUCGAUGAUACCGACAUGACACGCAAACUAACGGCUGGACAGAGAGACAACAGAGAGCUAAGCCCUGACGCGCCUCCGGCAGAGGUCCGAGCGGGAAAAGUACUCCUAUUUAGAAGCUGCACACGCUCAAGACUGGAGAGAUGAUCGUGGACUUCAGGAGGCAUCCUUUCCCACAGUUGCCCCUCAAGCUGUCCAACCGCCCCAUGUCAACCUGUCGAGAACUUCCAAGUUCUGGAAAUUACAGUCUCUCAGGACCUGAAGUGGGAGAUCAACAUCAACUCCAUCCUCAAAAAGGCCCAGCAGAGGAUGUACUUCCUGUGGCUUCCGAGGAAGCACGGCCUGCCACAUCAAAAAAAUUGUACCAGCAU